GAGUGGCGCACGGGUGAGUAACACGUAACUGACCUACCCCCAAGUCGCGAAUAACCAGCCGAAAGGAUGGCUAAUACGUGAUGUGAUGAUCCGCUGUGGCGGAUCAUUAAAGACUUGAUCGCUUGGGGAUGGGGUUGCGUUCCAUCAGCUAGUUGGUAAGGUAAAGGCUUACCAAGGCAACGACGGAUAGCCGGCCUGAGAGGGUGGCCGGCCACAGGGGCACUGAGACACGGGUCCCACUCCUACGGGAGGCAGCAGUUAGGAAUCUUCCACAAUGGGCGCAAGCCUGAUGGAGCGACGCCGCGUGAGGGAUGAAGGUUCUCGGAUCGUAAACCUCUGAACCAACGACGAAAGACCCGACAAGGGAGAUGACGGUAGUUGGGUAAUGGCACCGGCUAACUCC
rnacentral:rRNA from 1 species